ACAAUGGGCCUCUUUUCAUGGGGCUGCAGAACCAAGGUUCACAAGAACACAUUGUCUGAAUGUGCCAGCUUCGUUCCUGGUCAGCUGAAACCACUUGGAAAACUCAGAGCCCAGGACUCCCCUGCUCCAGCUCCAGAGACCAGCCGACUACUUCUCUAUCUGGGGCUCAUUUCAAGGCUGUAGAGCUGUGGGGGCAGCAAGUGCACCAGGCUGUCCUGCUUUCCCUUCCAGACUCACAGAAGCGUGGCUAUUAAAGCAAAAGAAGCACCUAGGUGGACUGGCCUGGGCACAGCCUGGCCUCCCACCGGCCGUCUCACUCUCGCUCGCCCCUUGCUCGUCAGAGGCCACUUCACACGUUCCCGGCACCUCGUGGGCUCCGCGGCAGGUCCUAGGGCUCGGGUGGCUCACCACACAUUCAACUCCUAGUAGGCACCGUCUGUGUCCGCCCUUCCUGCUCCCUGCCACGGUUUAUGAUUCUCUUUCCCCGAAAGAAGAGGGAAUUGAGGUGACAGCAGUGUCGCUUUCCCACCUGUUUCUUGCCGGAAAGAAUCGCUUUUUCUCUCCUUCCGAAAUACCUGUGCAAUGCCAAGAACGUGACUUUUCUGAGCUGUGUUUCUCCAAAGGAUAAAGGGCACAGAAAGAGUCAUUCAUUCUUCUUUCCAGAAACGUUUCGUGCACACCGUUCUGUAUGGUGUUUGGUGCUGGGAUGUGAGAUGAUGGAAGAUACCUGCCUGUGCUUGGAGUCCCCUGGCCAUUGGGUCCCCAGAGAGCCUCACUGCGUGACAGAGAAUGAUAAAUGCAGUGAGAGCUGCACUGUUAUAGAGUUCAGGGCAGAGCAGAGGUCACGUCCAGUGGAGACAACCAAAGCACACUCAGGGGAGCUGGCGGCAGUGGAGCUGGCUUUGAAGGCUGGAAAGGAUUCCCCAAGGAGGUGCAGAGGCUGGGGGCGUGACCUCUUCUCUCCUCUCUCAGGAAUUACUGUCCUGGCUGCCUAGUGCCUGAUGUCUCAAAACAGUAUUUUCUCCAUUCUUUUUUUCAGUUGUUUGAGGCUGGAGGAUAAAUCCAGCCCCUGUUACCCUAACCUUGGCUAGAAGACCCCCCGAAAUCUGUUUUCAUUGGUGAAACCUCUUCCCACUGGUGAUCCCAGUAUCCUGUUAUGGGUGUCUCCCAGUGACUUGGUUACUAGGUAUCCAGAGGUGAACUUGAAUUCUCGAAUCAGUCCUGUGAUGGAGCUAGCCACAGGCUGAGUCCGGAGACCACGUUCCAGUUCAGCUUCUGCUACUAAAUAGAUGACUUUGGCAUGUCACUUCGACCUACUGGCUGCCAUUUCCUUUGCUGUCAGAUGGCAGUAAGCUUACCUGCCUCACCUCACGGGAGUGGGGGCGUGAGGGUGAAAAGAGGAUGUGUGUAAAAUCCCUCUGUAAACUCGAAAGCCCCCACCAAUUGUGAGGUCUUUCUAUUAGCCGUUUCUACGGGCUCCCGUUUCUAUCACCCAAACAAAGCUGGCACUCGAGGAAUAGUUUGAUAGUAGCUUAAGCAACCUAUAAUCAUAAAUGGAAAUGAAAAGCAAUUACAAUGUAUUGGAAAACAUAUGUGUCAGAGACACAUGUAAAUUGUGCAAAUAGAUGUGGCAUUAAUCUUUCUAGGAUUACCUGUACCA